UUUAGUUCUUUACUUUUGAAUUCUGCUGAGUCGCUCACACGUUCGAUUUCUGGGAUAAGUCCCUCGCGCGUGCCGAAAGCAAAGUCCUCGUGUAGGUAUUUGUCAUCGGCAAUAUUGAUUUGCGUUGUCAACUGUCGGUAGCCGGGAGCAGUGAUAAAGAAAUGGAUGUGCGCCGGCCGUUGCCCAUGCCGUCCAAGCAAACACAUAAGUUUGUCAGUGUUACCUCCUGGAGGAACGCCAUACCCGCUUGGCAUAAUAGAACGGAAGCUAUACUUACCGUCGGCUCCCGUCUUGAUGCGCCG
rnacentral:misc_RNA from 1 species